UACGUAGGGGGCAAGCGUUGUCCGGAUUUAUUGGGCGUAAAGAGCGUGUAGGCGGUUUGGUAGGUCCGCUGUGAAAACUCGAGGCUCAACCUCGAGACGCCGGUGGAAACCAUCAGGCUAGAGUCCGGAAGAGGAGAGCGGAAUUCCUGGUGUAGCGGUGAAAUGCGCAGAUAUCAGGAGGAACACCGGUGGCGAAGGCGGGUCUCUGGGCCGUAACUGACGCUGAGGAGCGAAAGCGUGGGGAGCGAACAGG
rnacentral:rRNA from 1 species